UUUCCUCUUCUCCCACAGAUACCUCCCACGCAACCCCCACCCAUCUCGUCUCUCUCCCUCUGUGUUACCAAUCCGAACCCCACCACCACUGUCUUUCCUGUCGUCGAUUUGCAACGCCACACCAAGCAUCCCGAACGUCAAUAGACAACGCUGCCACACCCUCGAAUUUGACUGAUCGUCACUCUGAGAUUUGAGCGUGCUCUUCAGCAGCAAUGGAGUCGAAGAGGCUUCCCAGCAAACAUUCCAACAACAACAGAGAAAAGAGAGUUAAGCGUAAAGAGAUUCUCGAGAAGAAGAAGGCAAUCGAUGAGUGUAUCAAAUCAGCCUCUGCUGAUAAAGACCCUCUUGCUUCUUUCCUGCCCUUCCGCAGCUAUGACAGAAAUGGACUAUCUGUACACUUGAAAGCGGAGUGUGGGGAUAAGCUCUCCUUUCCUAUCAAGCAGUACAUUAUGAGCCUCCUUAAGGACAAUAUGGAGGAGCCAUAUGGAUCUGAUUGGCCAACAGAAGAGAAGGUCAAGCGCAGGGAAAUGGUUGUCCCAGAAGCACGCUAUAUAUUUGUGCAUGAGACCCCAAAUGAAUGUUCCUAUAGGACAGAAAGGGAACGGACUUAUACGAAUUGCAUAGAAGAUAAGGGACACAUUGUUGGGUUUGUACACUACCGCUUUACUCUAGAGGAGGAGAUACCUGUUCUUUAUGUAUAUGAAUUACAGCUUGAGCCCCGUGUCCAAGCGAAGGGGCUGGGGAAAUUUCUAAUGCAACUAAUUGAGCUUGUUGCUCACAAGAAUCGCAUGGGUGCUGUGAUGCUAACUGUUCAAAAAGCAAACUCAUUAGCUAUGAACUUCUAUCUAAAUAAGCUGAGAAUUGGUGAGCAGAUACGUAAUAGCAGCUGUUUCACCAUCAAGAGUUGAUCCAUUGAUAGGAGUUGAGAAGAGUUAUGAAAUUCUUUGCAAAACAUUUGAUCAUGAAGCCAAAGCAAUCCUGGAGAUCGGUGACAUUGUUCAGAAGUAAAGCAUGCAACAAAUUGUGGCUAAUAAAUGAGCCAACCACAAUGUAUCAGCAGAUCAACAUUGUGAUUUUGAAACCAAGACGACGGAACGACUCAGAGAACGAUCUUGGUGGCAGCAGCUAUGGUCCACUGAUGGUGGCUUUUGCAGUUCAAUGUUGGUUUAAUCAUUCAUUUAGUCUGUUGGAUAUCAUCACUAGAGGAGGCAGUUGUCCAUUAAACCACAUUUUGCUGCCAUUAAAUAGCCUGAAUAGAUACCUCACCCAAAACCUGAGCCUGCUAUUUCAUUCCAACUUCCUCAUCUGGUGCGUCAGAGUUUAGUCAAGAAUUUUUGUAUCAUAAUAAGAAGUCAGUGAGAAUUGUGGAAUACUAGCAAUUGAGAUUUAUAUGUAAUGGCAGUGUGGCAAUCACCACAGACCA